rnacentral:rRNA from 1 species
UACGGGGGGGGCAAGCGUUGUUCGGAAUUACUGGGCGUAAAGGGCUUGUAGGUGGCCAACUAAGUCAGACGUGAAAUCCCUCGGCUUAACCGGGGAACUGCGUCUGAUACUGGAUGGCUAGAGUGUGGGAGAGGGAUGCGGAAUUCCAGGUGUAGCGGUGAAAUGCGUAGAUAUCGUGAGGAAGACCAGUGGCGAAGGCGGAUCUCUGGACAGUUCCUGACGCUGAGGCGCGAAGGCCAGGGGAGCAAACGGG